rnacentral:rRNA from 1 species
GUGAGGAAUUUUCCGCAAUGGGCGAAAGCCUGACGGAGCAAUGCCGCGUGAAGGAUGAAGGCCUAUGGGUUGUAAACUUCUUUUCUCAGAAAAGAAUUAUGACGGUAUCUGAGGAAUAAGCAUCGGCUAACUCUGUGCCAGCAGCAGCGGUAAGACAGAGGAUGCAAGCGGUAUCCGGAAUGAUUGGGCGUAAAGCGUCUGUAGGUUGUUUAAAAAGUAUUCUGUCAAAGAUUAGGGCUUAACCCUAGAUAGGCAGAAUAAACUUUUAAGCUAGAGUUUGGUGGAGGCAGAGGGAAUACCCGGUGGAGCGGUGAAAUGCGUAGAUAUCGGGAGGAACACCAAAGGCGAAGGCACUCUGCUGGGCCAAUACUAACACUGAGAGACGAAAGCGAGGGGAGCAAAUGGGAUUAGAUACCCUAGUAGUCC